GACAGCAGUAGCCACGGGAAUACGUAGGUGGCAAGCGUUGUCCGGAAUUAUUGGGCGUAAAGGGCUCGCAGGCGGUUUCUUAAGUCUGAUGUGAAAGCCCCCGGCUCAACCGGGGAGGGUCAUUGGAAACUGGGAAACUUGAGUGCAGAAGAGGAGAGUGGAAUUCCACGUGUAGCGGUGAAAUGCGUAGAGAUGUGGAGGAACACCAGUGGCGAAGGCGACUCUCUGGUCUGUAACUGACGCUGAGGAGCGAAAGCGUGGGGAGCGAACAGGAUUAGAUACCCCCGUAGUCCCUGUCUCUUAUAC
rnacentral:rRNA from 1 species